GACCGAUAGUGAACAAGUACCGUGAGGGAAAGGUGAAAAGAACCCCGGUAAGGGGAGUGAAAUAGAACCUGAAACCGUGCGCCUGCAAGCAGUUGAAGCUCGCAAGAGUGACAGCGUGCCUUUUGCAUAAUGAGUCGGCGACUUACGUUCAGCAGCGAGGUUAAGCCGUUAGGCGAAGCCGAAGCGAAAGCGAGUCUGAAUAGGGCAUAGAGUUGUUGGACGUAGACCCGAAGCCAGGUGAUCUAUCCAUGACCAGGUUGAAGCGGGGGUAAAACCUCGUGGAGGACCGAACUCACUAAUGUUGAAAAAUUAGGGGAUGAGUUGUGGAUGGGAGCGAAAGACUAAUCAAACCUGGAGAUAGCUGGUUCUCCCCGAAAUAUAUUGAGGUAUAGCCUCGCGAGGUUCGCACCGGAGGUAGAGCACUGGAUGGGCUAGGGGGUCCCACAGGAUUACCAAACCCAACCAAACUCCGAAUGCUGGUGACGAUAUCGCGGGAGUCAGACUGUGGGAGAUAAGUUCCAUGGUCGAGAGGG
rnacentral:rRNA from 1 species